GUGUUUUCUGCUCUGUUAAGUGCAGCAGUGGAUUAGUCAGCCGGUUUAUUUAAGGCAGGUCAAGAGUCAGGGGACACAAGUCAGUGUGUCCCUGCGCGUCUCAGGUCCUCAGUGAGGAGGAUGCAGAGUAACAUCUACAGGCAACAGGAUGAGCACUUUGAGGUGUACACCACCGUCCUCUCCCCACAAGGUGAGCGGGACCGCAGCUUCCGACACCGUGUCCGUCCGGGUGUCUAGAGCUGGGAUACACUCUCAGAGGAAAACCGCAGCACCGCCAAACGGGUCCAUCGGCCACUCCUCCUGGAUAAGCCUUUUUUUUCUCCUUCAGGUCCACGGAGAAUUUAGACAUCCCAAAAGUGCCCCGGGGACGAUGUCAGUUCAGGCAGGCAGAAGUUGAGAAGAUGGUGGUGAAGCGCAGCUACAAGCCCCAUUGGCCAGACGAGCUCCAGUUGACCCGUGGUGAGGUCAUCCUGGUGCUGUUUAAGGGUGAGGAGACCAGGUGGUUUGGGCGGCUGCAGGAUGGACAACAGGGGUACUUCCCUGCCUCCCAUGUCGUAGAGCUGAGUGACCAGGAAGAUGAGCCCGGGAAGGAUGUCGACCGUUUAGCGAGACGGAGUUCAGCUCCGGCCACAUAUGCAGGUGGUUCUGGCCCCCUCAGGCUCCAGGCUCUCCGCAGAGCCAGCAGAGCAGCGGCGGGAGGCGGGCCAGAAGGGUCCGAGAGGGAGGGGGAGGGUCCCAUCCUGAUACUGAACUCCCAAAUCUCCCUCCCCGACGGGAAGACUCAGCCCGUGCCGCCGCCGCCGCCGCCGCCGCCGCCGCCAAAGGCACACGACUCCCCGGGCUUCCUGCGCAGGAUCCUGUCCAAGCACCGGCGGAGGAGUGUCUGCCGCGGGUCCACCAACACCGGCUACCUGGCUGACUAGGCGGGGCCGGCCGGGGGAGAGGAAGGAGGAGGGGCACCGGGACGCCCGGCGACCAUUUUUGUAAAUGGACCGCGUUCUGGACCCAGGUAGGGUUGCCAUGGCUACAGCAUCGUUGCUAGUCCUCUGGAGGAGGGUGGAACAGCUCCACUAACCUCUUCCUCUGGGUUCAAGAAAAAUCCAGCGUUCAUGAUUAAGAUGUGACACUGGGCAAAGCCGUCCAUUAUGGGGUUUAGUGUGUGUGUGUGUGUGUGUAUGUGUGUAUGAGGGGGUGGGGGGUUUCAUUAACAGUGGGAACGGUUUACAGUAUGGUUAUAUUUUAAAAACUGUUUAAAAUGUUUAAACCAGCCAAAUAAUGUUUAAUGAGUUUUUCUGUUCCUUGUUAUGCUGUAUUGUAUUUUUUAGCAACUAUGAUGUUCUUAUGCCACCUGCACUAAAUAUAAAUUGAUGUAUUUCUUUUU
ensembl:lncRNA